UACGUAGGGUGCGAGCGUUAAUCGGAAUUACUGGGCGUCAAGCGUGCGCAGGCGGUUUUGUAAGCCAGAUGUGAAAUCCCCGGGCUUAACCUGGGAAUGGCAUUUGGGACUGCAAGGCUGGAGUGCGGCAGAGGAGACUGGAAUUCCUGGUGUAGCAGUGAAAUGCGUAGAUAUCAGGAGGAACACCGAUGGCGAAGGCAAUCCCCUGGGCCUGUACUGACGCUCAUGCACGAAAGCGUGGGGAGCAAACAGG
rnacentral:rRNA from 1 species